rnacentral:rRNA from 1 species
UUCGUAGGGUGCAAGCGUUAAUCGGAAUCACUGGGCGUAAAGCGCACGUAGGCGGUCUUUUAAGUCAGGGGUGAAAUCCUGGAGCUCAACUCCAGAACUGCCUUUGAUACUGGGAGACUUGAGUCCGGGAGAGGUGAGUGGAACUGCGAGUGUAGAGGUGAAAUUCGUAGAUAUUCGCAAGAACACCAGUGGCGAAGGCGGCUCACUGGCCCGGUACUGACGCUGAGGUGCGAAAGCUAGGGGAGCGAACGGG